rnacentral:rRNA from 1 species
CCCUUAGAUGUUCUGGGCCGCACGCGUGCUACACUGAGUAAUUCAAUGGGUAAGGGAACGCUAGAGCAUUACCUAAUCUUGAAAUUUGCUCGUGAUGGGGAUCGACGGUUGCAAUUUUCCGUCGUGAACGAGGAAUACCUUGUAGGCGCAUGUCAUCAUCAUGCGCCGAAUACGUCCCUGCCCUUUGUACACACCGCCCGUCGCUCCUACCGAUUGAGUGAUCCGGUGAGGCUCUGGGACCUGGACGGAAAGAGCGUUUCGCUUGUUCUGUUUGGGAAACUUGGUCGAACCUUAUCAUUUAGAGGAAGUAGAAGUCGUAACA